rnacentral:rRNA from 5 species
CAGCGGAGGGAUCAUUG